ACCCUGGUACCAGUCAGUUGAUUAUUUUUUUUCGACUAGAGAUCAACGGCAUAGCGCAAGCAAUACCAGACAGAAUUUGGCUACCGCCAGUAUUAACUUGCAUUAAUUUGAUCAGUAGCUCAAGCAAGAAUUAUCAUUGCACAAAAUUCGAUGGGCAAACCCCUUCUCAAGCAAAUCAAUUCAAUUGAUACAUUGAAUUUAUUCACCAAAUUAUUAGACCCAAUAGAUUGACUAUUUUAAAAUGGCUCCAAGGCCCAGUGCGAUGUCAAGUAAAUACAUUGAGGAGGGUAUGUAUGAGGGAAUGAGA
rnacentral:lncRNA from 1 species